UACGUAGGCAGCGAGCGUUGUUCGGAAUUACUGGGCGUAAAGAGUGUGUAGGCGGUGCUCUAAGUUCGGUGUGAAAUCUCCCGGCUUAACUGGGAGGUGCGCCGGAAACUGGAGUGCUCGAACGUGGGAGAGGAAAGCGGAAUUCCUGGUGGUAGCGGUGAAAUGCGUAGAUAUCAGGAGGAACACCUGCGGUGUAGACGGCUUUCUGGACCAUUGUUGACGCUGAGACACGAAAGCGUGGGUAGCAAACAGG
rnacentral:rRNA from 1 species